rnacentral:rRNA from 1 species
AACGAACGCUGGCGGCAGGCUUAACACAUGCAAGUCGAACGCAUCCUUCGGGGUGAGUGGCAGACGGGUGAGUAACGCGUGGGAACGUGCCCUUCAGUUCGGGAUAACCCAGGGAAACUUGGGCGAAUACCGGAUACGUGCGAGAGCAGAAAGAUUUAUCGCUGAAGGAUCGGCCCGCGUCUGAUUAGCUAGGUGGUGGGGUAAUGGCCCACCAAGGCGACGAUCAGUAGCUGGUCUGAGAGGAUGAUCAGCCACAUUGGGACUAAGACACGGCCCAAACUCCUACGGGAGGCAGCAGUGGGGAAUAUUGGACAAUGGGCGCAAGCCUGAUCCAGCCAUGCCGCGUGAGUGAUGAAGGCCUUAGGGUUGUAAAGCUCUUUCGUCCGGGACGAUAAUGACGGUACCGGAAGAAGAAGCCCCGGCUAACUUCGUGCCAGCAGCAGCCGCCG